AUCCAUGGUUACGAGUCAAGUCAAGGACUUUACUGUCAUGGUCAUUAAAACGGACAAAAUACAACUUUAAAAACAGCUUGGGUAUAUUACAAGGAGGAGAAUAAGCGAAAAAAACAAAUAGAAAUAUAUAUAUAUUCCCUGACAGUUUCUCUAAAGGGUUGUAAAAAUAUUCAACUAAUUUUACAGCGUUUUGCGUCCAGACGAUAUGCUAGGUGGCUAGGUAUUUAGCCAGUCCCUGUGGGUAAGAGAGAUGGCAGGUGUGUAUUUAUUGUGUGUAUACCAGGUGUGUGUGUACCAGGUGUGUAUUUAUUGUGUGUAUACCAGGUGUGUGUGUACCAGGUGUGUAUUUAUUGUGUGUAUACCUG
rnacentral:lncRNA from 1 species